GAUGUCCAGUUUUCCACAAUAAAAACCGCACUGCCGUGACCAUACACGUGUGUGCCUUGCAUAUGCCUGGGGAGGAGUGGCCGGGUGUGUGAGCAUCUUGGGGCUCCCUGCUGUAUCUGAAAGGGGCCUGGAACAUAACAGGCGAGAGUAAAUGCAGAACAGAUGGAUUCGUGGAUGAGGUGGAGGAAGGAUGAGCCACGUCCAUCCAGGUGCAGGCUUUUUCUACUCUGUGUUUUGAGACUCAUCCGUCCCUGGGAGGAUCCCGCUCCUUUGCUCAGUGUCAGUGUCCUGGCAGCUGGUAGAGGCAAGCAAGAGAAGAAAAAGGCCCCAUGUCUACCCUCCCAGAAAGAACUUCAGGUAACGAGAUGAGGACACUAAAGCCUAGAGAAGGGAAGUGAUUUGCCCAGGAUCACACGAACAGUGCCUAUCAGAGCUGGAGCUGGAAACCAAGUAUUCGGACUCCUCUAAUUCCAUGUCUGUCCUUCAUACCCUCUUUGUAGCUCCAGCUACACAGAUAUUCUCAAGUAGAAAAGUUAACUAUCGGGUACUGUGCUUAAUACCUGGGUGAUGAAACUAAUCUGUACAACAAACUCCCA